AGUGAACGCUGGCGGUAGGCCUAACACAUGCAAGUCGAACGGCAGCACAGUAAGAGCUUGCUCUGACGGGUGGCGAGUGGCGGACGGGUGAGGAAUACAUCGUAAUCUACUUUUUCGUGGGGGUUAACGUAGGGAAACUUACGCUCAUACCGCAUACGACCUACCGGUGAAAGCAUGGGAUCGUUGGACCUUUCGCGAUUGAAUUAGCCGAUGUCGGAUUAGCUAGUUGGGGGGUUAAAGGCCCACCAUGGCGACGAUCCGUGGCUGGACUGAGUGGACGGUCGGCCGCACUGGAGGUGGAACAGGGUCCAGAGUCCUACGGGAGGCACCAGUCGGGAAUAUUGGCCAGUGGGGGGAAACAUGGUCCAACCGGACCGCGUGGGUGAAGGAGGCCUUGGGGUUGUGAAGCCCGUUUUUUGGGAGAGAAAAGCAGCAGGUUGAUACCAAGCUGUUGUGACGGUACCGAAAGAAUAAGCACCGGCUAACUUCGUG
rnacentral:rRNA from 1 species